rnacentral:rRNA from 1 species
GACGAACGCUGGCGGCGUGGAUUAGGCAUGCAAGUCGAACGGUAUCAUCCUUUCGGGGAUGAGAGAGUGGCGAACGGGUGAGUAACACGUAGGUGAUCUACCCUCAAGACGGGGACAACCCAGGGAAACUUGGGCUAAUACCGGAUGUGAGCUAUCGUGAGAUAGUUUGAAAGGUGGCUUCGGCUGCCGCUUGAGGAUGAGCCUGCGUCCUAUUAGCUAGUUGGUGAGGUAACGGCUCACCGAGGCAGUGAUAGGUAGGCGGCCUUAACGGGUGGUCGCCCACACUGGGAUUGAGAUACGGCCCAGACUCCUACGGGAGGCAGCAGUCGAGAAUAGUCUACAAUGGUCGAAAGACUGAUAGUGCGACGCCGCGUGAACGAAGAAGCCCUUCGGGUGUAAAGUUCUUUUAUAUGUGAGCAGUGACAUCUAUAUUAAUAGUAUGGGUGUAGAGAUAUUAGCAUAUGAAUAAGCAACGGCUAACUCCGUGCC